CGGGCUGUAGCGCAGCUUGGUAGCGCAUCUGCUUUGGGAGCAGAGGGUCGUCGGUUCGAAUCCGGCCAGCCCGACCA
rnacentral:tRNA from 1 species